rnacentral:lncRNA from 1 species
UUUGGGAAAAGCUUGUGCCUUGACAGUGAUUUUGCACCUUCAAGAAGCCUUUUUGAACUCUGCAAUAGAGAUGUUGACCCUAUCAACCUUUGACAUUAUUAACCAACCUCAUUAAAUUAUUUGAAUUUCAAAAUUUUUUUUACUUUUUCCAAUAAAAAAAUCUGGGGAAUUGGCUCGUGAAGGUUUUGCCUUAAUCAAAUGUUAAGUUACAAUUUUUAUAAUUUCAAAGGAUAUCAUUCUCUCCCUCUUUCUAUGUCUCCU